UAUCUUUUGUUCGUUUUCAGUUCUUAUCACGUAUAUAAGAGGUAUUACAAAAUAACAUGUCGUGUCUGUUUGGAAAACCCAAGCAAGCACCCACCGACGCUGAUUCGUAAGUUCAUGGCAGGACUUGCGCAUAUGGAGGUGUUGGGAAUUGCAGACACAACAUCAGUUUCAAAAUACACGGUGUCGAUGGAUUUGAGGGAAGCAAACGACAACGGAGGAGGAGACACGUGUUUGUUUGUUCGCAUGACGUGUCAGUCAUUUUUGGAUACUAAAGUCACACCUGACGUCAACUAACUAAGGAGAUCUAGCCGUAUAUAAUAGUGGGGUAAUUGAAUUAGAUGUUUUGGGUUGGGUUUGGAAUUUAUAGUGGGCCUAACAAAGGCUUUUCAUGAUCAAGCUACCAACACAGCAACAGCCACCGCAAGAGUGGAGAUCCCAUCUCAGCAUCACUUCAUUGGUGACUAGUAACCUAGACAAGGCAACAAUUUCCCCCGAUCUUACAGGAUUCGAAAACAGGAACAGAGAACUCCAAAUGGACGGCAGCCAUUUGUCUUUUAUACUUUGAAUCGAUAUGGACCGACCUUUGUCGUCUUCUUCUUGUUAGUUAAAUGGAAUGUUGAGUUUAAGACUUGUUGUCUUUUAGAAAAUACUUCUGUUGUGCAUGCCGUAAGGUAUCCACUAAAAUGGAAAAUGAGUUAUGUUGGAUAAGCUUCAAUAACGUCGAGCUCAAGACAUCCGUAACAAGUCGGUUAAAGGAUACGAUAGGCUAAAUAAGGAACAUAGCUAUUUCUAUUAAGAAAAGAAAAAAAGUAGUUUUCCAUUACGUAUAGAAAUAGGAGUUUGUUCAAUGAGAAUUUACUAUAUAAGGAGAUGCCGAGUUGUGGUAUCCCUCAAGAAAAAGCAUUAGCUUUGUGUUUAGUUUUUAGAAAAGAUUUUCUAAACAUCAAUAAAAAAAGGUAGUUUUUAUUCAAA